UUUUUUUGUUUUUUUGGCAAAGAAAUAGAGAAAGAAAGAGAGCGAUAGCGAGGAGGGUGAAGGAUAUGGAGAGAGAUGACUGGGAAUCCUGUAAACACAAAAAGGGAUCAGUGGGGAAAAAAAAGGGAUGGAUCAAUGAUUUUUCAGUCCCUUUUGCAAUUAUAGAAGCAAGGAACAGGUUGAGAGGAGAAAAAAAGGCGGAGAGGAGAUCUUUGAGAGAGACGUUAGGAGCCCUGUGAAAGGGUCUCUUUUGCAGCACUGAAAGCAACAAACAGAGGGAGAGGAGCGGCAAACAAGCUGAAUUAGGCUAACCUGGUCUCCUCCAACUUGGGUCAAGUUCCUCCAAGAGGAAGAGAAGGACAUGAUACAUAAGAUGUUCGUGCUUCUCUAAAAGAACUGAAGCUAUUUACAGACUCUGCUGAGAGGUUGAUGGUAGUGAAACUGUCGAGAUGCUUGGUAAAUGUUGUUGUGGCUGUGAUGUGUGUUUUAUGCAGGGUUGAUAUCCAGGCCAAAUUUGAAGGAGAAGAAGAGAAGGAGAAUGUGGGAAGGCCAUCGAAAUGUUUCUCAAUAUCUCAUAGUUCUGCUCCAGUUCUGUUGAUGGCUCUGUUCUAAUUCUGUUAGCAAACAACCAGGUUUCACAAAAAUCUUGCAUAAAUUAACUAAAAAAAUCCAUAUAGCCUCACAACGAUCAAACUUUCCAUAUUCACAAGCCCGAUUCGAGGAAGGAGAUCCACAGGGAACAGUUGUCGCUGCUGCUGAGGUCGCGAACACACAAAUCCACAACUAGACAGCCAAGACAAAUGAAUAACGUGUUCCUGAUGGUGGCGUCAAUUCUGUCGUAAAGACUGCAACAACCCGCCAUCUAUUGGCCACGCCUAUUAGGUCGACCAGCGUCCUACGGUUUUGGGUGAGUCAAUCUGAGUUUUUAUUCAAGAAAAGCUUGACUUUUUUUCUACUAUCAGUCCAAUCUGUAGCUAAGUUGGAUAGGGCAUGGAUAUGAUCUAUCAUAAAGCUGAAAUAACCUCUUCUCUUUUUAUUCAUGAUGUUUAUUUAGCAGGGGCAUUCGAGUCUGGUGAUUGUUCAUUUCUGAUAUACAUCUCUUUUAUGCCAGGAUGGUAGUAACUUGAUUUGCUAUUUAUUCUUUCUUUUAUUAUUUCACCAAUUGAAUAUUGACUAAUUGCCAACAGAAGGUCUAAAAUCACAGUUGCACAAAUGUUGAUUGAAGACAAGUGUUCGAUGCAUAGUGACUGGCACUUUCACUCCAAGGAGGCAAUGCUCCCUCUUACAAAUCAAGUUGGCAAUAGUUACAAGCAUAUUCCAAUAGCAUCUUCCUUUGCUGAAGUUCACCCUCUGGAUGUAAAGCACUUGAUGCCUGUGCAUGGAGUUGAAUUUCAACCCUCUGAGAUUUGUCCAGAGGAUUUCAUUGAAGAAUGCGAUGAGGAAGAGGUCAGCAUUGCACACGCACAUGGAAAUUAAUGAAGCAACUGCACUGGUUCUUGCUCCAGUUGUGCUUCAAAACCUAUGAAAAAUAGAUUUUAUGUUUGGAAGUACUCUGGCAGUGUUUAUUGCUGUCACAGUGAAAGGAAACAACAGAAAAUAAAUAAAAUGGUGACGACAUUGAGAGAUAUUAUUGUACUUGGUGGUGACCGAAUAAAUACUGUCAUUGUUUUAGAUGAAGCCGUGUAGGUAUACAAACUGAACGAGUUACGUGAUAUGAAAAAACUGUUGAUCUCAAUUGAUUUCAUUCUACCAUUGUCUUGAUAGAUAA